GAAGCGGACGGGCCGCGGCGUCGAAGCGACAGGGACGGACCGGGAGGCGCCGCCGUUCUACCGCCCCGCGCACCCGCCCAGCCGACAUGAGUGACCAGCAGCUGGAUUGUGCCUUGGAUUUGAUGAGGCGUCUGCCUCCGCAGCAGAUAGAGAAGAAUCUCAGUGACCUCAUUGACUUGGUCCCAAGCCUGUGUGAAGAUCUCCUCUCCUCUGUGGAUCAGCCCUUGAAGAUUGCACGAGACAAGGUGGUAGGGAAAGAUUAUCUAUUGUGUGACUACAACAGAGAUGGGGACUCGUACAGGUCACCAUGGAGCAACAAGUACGACCCUCCCCUGGAGGACGGUGCCAUGCCCUCGGCUCGCCUGCGCAAGCUGGAGGUGGAAGCCAACAAUGCCUUUGACCAGUACAGAGACUUGUAUUUUGAAGGUGGAGUAUCCUCUGUCUACCUCUGGGAUCUGGAUCAUGGCUUUGCCGGGGUGAUCCUCAUUAAGAAAGCUGGAGAUGGAUCAAAGAAGAUUAAGGGAUGCUGGGAUUCCAUCCACGUGGUGGAGGUUCAGGAGAAGUCCAGUGGCCGCACUGCCCAUUACAAGCUGACCUCCACAGUGAUGCUGUGGCUGCAGACCAAUAAAACUGGCUCUGGUACCAUGAACCUGGGGGGGAGCCUCACCAGACAGAUGGAGAAGGAUGAGACUGUGAGUGACUCCUCUCCACACAUAGCCAAUAUCGGCCGCUUGGUAGAGGACAUGGAAAACAAAAUCAGAAGUACACUGAACGAGAUUUAUUUUGGAAAAACAAAGGACAUCGUUAAUGGGCUGAGAUCUAUCGAUGCUAUUCCUGACAACCAAAAGUAUAAGCAGUUGCAGAGGGAACUUUCUCAAGUGUUGACCCAGCGCCAGAUCUACAUCCAGCCUGAUAACUAAACCAAUCCAGGUACCCUCGCUGCCUGUGAGGUGUGAGCCAGCACUAAACCAGGACUCACCAGCCCAGCCCCUGCAUGGUACCGGGAAGAACUAACCCCUAAUCCCGCAGGGAGCAGCAGCGGCGCAGCCCAGCCACCCCCGGGUUCUGUCUCAGUGCAGCCACUAAAUGCUGUGGUUCUUGUCUGAAAUGUUACCUCCUCCCCUGUGGAAUCCUCACACUGGGAGCUGGGGCAGGAUUUGCCACUUUGCACUCUGGCUUAGGAGCAGGAAAGGAGCACGUGGUCCUGUGCCUGGAGUGGUGUGGGAUUGGGCCGAUUCUAUCCAGAAACCCUGGGACUCUGUCCCUUGGGCACCAGCACUUCUUUACACCUGUGAUACACAACUACCAGGAAGAAAUUCCCUGUAAUCCCAGUGUCCUCCCUGCAGAAUGAAAUCUUGGGAGUCUCACAGUUUCGGAAAAAAAAAAAAAAAGCCUGAUACUUCCCAUGAAUUCAGAGUAAACGUGCUCUCCCACACGCCCAUCCCCAUGAGCCUGGUGGAUUUUGAAUUUCCUUGGAGCUUGAAACGCAGUCCUGCUCAAGCUCACUCAGACACUGCCAGCCUCCACUUGCUUGUGCUCUGCACAGCCUCCAGAGGGAUUUGUUGCUGUGCUCAUUUGCUCUGGAGCUCUGAGUGUCAGGGGUGCACUAACCCUGAGCCAGCCUAACCUUCCACUCCACUUCCUAACAAGUUACAGAUGUUGUUUCAAAUACAUUCAGCUGAUCAAGGGGGAAACUCACUAUUUGUUGAUAGUGGCCAAGAACCACUUCUUCAGCCUAUGACAAAUGCAAAUAUAAAUGUAUAUGUUUUUGUUAAAGCAGCAGAAGUCUCCAUAGACAAGAGAAUGGAAAUACUGUUAUAAAAAUGGUAGGAAAAUCACCACCACAAAGAGCAGCCUUGCUUACAGGAGACAGCAAGAGAAAAUGAGGUUGCUCUGAAUCACAGACUCCCAGACUGGUUUGGGUUGGAAGGGCCCUUAAAGCUUGUCCACUUCCAACCCCCUGCCAUGGGCAGGGAAAUUUUCCAUCCUCCCAGGUGCUGUAAAAGCUGUGAAAUGUGAUUUAGGUGGGGAGGAAUCCUACCCAAUUGGAUCCUACCACUUCUCUGUGGUAGCCACUCUGGAAAAGUUUCUGGAUAGAACCCAUUCUAUUAGUUUAUUUAAGAGGGGCCUUUUUAAAAGUGGAAAUUUCUUAUUGUCUCACUGAAAUCAAAGGUUCCUCCACAGGCAUCUCCCAGGGCACUAAUCCCAGGUGAUUGGUGGAAAGUGGAGCUUUCCCUCUGUACUUUCAGGCAAAGGGAAGCCCUGCAAUAACCUUGUGACAGUAUCUCUGUUCUUCUUCAGCUGCUUUGAUCACUCACUCCUUAGGGAAGGUGCAAAAAAAGGCAAAUUUGAGAGCAGAACCUCUGGCUGCUUUUCCCACUGGUGCAAAGGCUGGUGGGAGGUUCCAGGUGAACACUCCUGCAGAAGGGUCAGAGCUGCCCAGCUCGGGACGGGGCUGGAUUUUCUCUGCACUUCGGGGGAGCAGGAGCUCUAACCCCCUUGGCUGUGGGACGCUGGGCUUCUUCCUGGCUGGAACACAAAGUUGGGAAUCUCCCUCCGGCAGGCGGGGCCUGAGCGGAGCUGCUGGGGAAGCCUUUGGUGCCAGUCCUUGCCAGAGUCUGUGCAGACUUUUGCAGACAAAUCAAAACAAGAAGCUCUUAAAAACGACCUGGUGGAGGCUUUGAAGAGAAAGCAGCAAAGU